GGUCCCGUAGUGUAGCGGUAAACAGCCAUGACUUUCAAUCCAGUUACGCCAGUUCGAAUCUCGCCGGGGCCU
rnacentral:tRNA from 1 species